AAUAAUGUUGAAUUGUCAGACAGGCGUUACUUUGCAGAAGUCCAUGGUAUACAAGGAAUUACAGAUUAAUAUCGC